AUCAGGGCUGGCCCUAGAGCCUGGCUGCUGAUUCUGCAGACAAGUGUACAGAUAUAUAGGCACAAAAUAUGCCCACAUGAAUGAAAAAGAUGGCUGCAACCUCCUCAGGUUUAUUUUAAAACACGAUACGAUGAAGAAAGCAUCGUUACAGGAGGGUGCUGAGGAUUAGCAACAGCUCCUGAGCUCAGCAAAGCUGCUCUGUGAACUUCUCAGAGAGGAAACACCUCACACAUAGAUGAAGACCUUGGGUAGAAUGAGGGUAUCAUGACUUGUCAAUUGCACUUUUUCCUCUGUGAAUAUUUCUGGGUUAUUUAUUUACUUAAACACUGAGGUA
rnacentral:lncRNA from 1 species